UAUAUAAACUGCAUUACGUUUUCAGUUGAUCAAACAAGUCGUUCUUACAGCACAAGACUUUUGGUAUUCAACAUUUAACCACAUUAGUCUCAUUUCAAACCAUUAACAAUGCCGUGCGGAGGUUGCGGAGACGAUUGCAAAUGCACCACAAACCAGUGUUGUCAGAAUUGUAAAUGCGAUUCUUCGUGCAUUUGUUCCGGCAAGAAGCCAGCACCAGUGGAAGCCAGCAAGAAGACUACCAAAUCAUGAAAUCGACUAGAAAAUUAUAAUACGUAAUUGUAAAUUGUAAUCUCGGUAAUGAAAAUUGUAUCAUAAUAUUGAGAAUGUAAUCUGAUUAAUAAACAUAAUACAUUUAAAUUGGACAAACUG